UAAUGUUAUUGGUUGAAGAUGGUUCUUCUCACAUGGCAUCACACUGAACACCAAGAGCUUUCCAUACAUAUUCGUUACAUUACAACCUCAAAGCUCUUCACGAAAGAAGCGUUUUUUCCCGACCUUCGAAAUCAAGGGCAUUCACAAAGGGGGGAUUUUUUUCCCCUACGGCUGUUGGAGCAAUUAAUUUUCCCAAACCAGCUGUUUUGGUUCAGGUGCUCUUUCGUACAAGGCAGUGUAAGUGAUUGUAGAAG